AGCCUAAAGAUCUAUAUUUUAGGUGAGACCUGCUCAAUGAAGAUGUAGAUUAUUUAAAUAGCCGCAGUACUUUGACUGUGCUAAGGUAGCAUAAUAAAUUGGCUUUUAAUUGAAGUCUGGAAUGAAAGGUAAAUUUGAAAAAGAUUGUCUCUAAUUAGACUUAUUAAACUUACUUAAUAGGUGAAAAUUCCUAUGUUUUACAUAAUAGACGAGAAGACCCUAAGAAUUAUUAAAAAUAAGUUUAUUUUACUUUAAUUUUUUGUUGGGGCAACAACUUUGAACAUAAAACCAAAGGGCUAAAGAUUUUAAGACAAAUUUUAUUUUGAAAAAAAUUAAUUACCUUAGGGAUAACAGCAUAAUUUUCUUUUUAGAUUGUGACCUCGAUGUUGGAUUAAGGACCCCUUAGGUAAGCCACUUAAGAGAAUAGUUCUGUUCGAACUUUAUAUCCUU
rnacentral:rRNA from 1 species